GAUGAACGCUGGCGGCGUGCCUAAUACAUGCAAGUCGAACGAGGUACUUGGAGUCUUCGGACGAAGAGUGUCCUAGUGGCGAACGGGUGAGUAACGCGUUGGUGACCUGCCCCGAAGAGGGGGAUAACAGUUCGAAAGGACUGCUAAUACCCCAUAAGCUCACGAGAGUUAGAGGUCUAGUGAGAAAAGGAGAAAUCCACUUCGGGAGGGGCCUGAUACCCAUCAGAUAGUUGGUAGGGUAAAAGCCUACCAAGGCGAUGACGGGUAGGGGACCUGAGAGGGUGGCCCCCCACAAUGGAAAUGAAACACGGUCCAUACACCUACGGGUGGCAGCAGUAGGGAAUAUUGCUUAAUGGGCGAAAGCCUGAAGCAGCAACGCCGCGUAAACGAUGAAGGCCUUCGGGUUAUAAA
rnacentral:rRNA from 1 species